UGAGGAAUAUUGGUCAAUGGGCGAGAGCCUGAACCAGCCAAGUAGCGUGCAGGAUGACGGCCCUAUGGGUUGUAAACUGCUUUUAUGCGGGGAUAAAGUGUGCGAUGUGUCGUGCAUUGCAGGUACCGCAUGAAUAAGGACCGGCUAAUUCCGUGCCAGCAGCCGCGGUAAUACGGAAGGUCCGGGCGUUAUCCGGAUUUAUUGGGUUUAAAGGGAGCGUAGGCCGCCAGAUAAGCGUGUUGUGAAAUGUACCGGCUCAACCGGUGAAUUGCAGCGCGAACUGUUUGGCUUGAGUGCACGGUAAGCAGGCGGAAUUCAUGGUGUAGCGGUGAAAUGCUUAGAUAUCAUGAGGAACUCCGAUUGCGAAGGCAGCUUGCUGCAGCGCGACUGACGCUGAUGCUCGAAGGUGCGGGUAUCAAACAGG
rnacentral:rRNA from 1 species